UACGUAGGUGGCAAGCGUUGUCCGGAUUUACUGGGCGUAAAGGGCGUGCAGGCGGUCUGUUAAGUUCAGGGUGAAAGCUCCCGGCUCAACUGGGAGAGGUCCUUGGAUACUGGCAGACUUGAGGGAGGUAGAGGGGAGUGGAAUUCCCGGUGUAGUGGUGAUAUGCGUAGAUAUCGGGAGGAACACCAGUGGCGAAGGCGGCUCUCUGGGCCCUUCCUGACGCUGAGACGCGAAAGCGUGGGGAGCGAACCGG
rnacentral:rRNA from 1 species